CUACCGGGUCCCCCCUAACCCGCCCACCACCCUACCUGGCCCAGGCAAUGGUCCCUUUCGGAAUAGACAGAGGGGUCUCCUCCCUCUUCUCCCCCCCCCCGCCCCGCCCCGCACACCGCCUGUCUGAGGCGCUCAACGGCUUCCCCUCCCGCCGGGAGACCAACGCCUCCUCUCUCUGGUCUCUCUCCACUCUGCUCUCCUCCUCAACUCACAGGAUGCCGGAGCAGGAGAAUAAUCCCAAGGUCGCCUGUUCUCAGUGAACUCAUAAAGUUUCCGCAAGGCUACACGGGCAGCUUCUUCUUCAGCAGCCAAUAUUGUUUCGCCAGUACCUUCAGCCAAAAGCUUCUUAUCAC